rnacentral:rRNA from 1 species
UACGGGGGGAGCAAGCGUUGUUCGGAUUUACUGGGCGUAAAGGGCGCGUAGGCGGUCAGCACAAGUCAGUUGUGAAAUCUCCGGGCUUAACCCGGAAAGGUCAGCCGAUACUGCGGGGCUAGAGUGCAGAAGGGGCAACUGGAAUUCUCGGUGUAGCGGUGUAAUGCGUAGAUAUCGAGAGGAACACCUGCGGCGAAGGCGGGUUGCUGGGCUGACACUGACGCUGAGGCGCGAAAGCUAGGGGAGCGAACGGG